AGUUAGCGUCAGCGCCUGGGCUGGUCCCGGACGCCUUGGGCUGGCCGGGUAAGGUCCAGCAGUAUCCGCCUCCUUCCUGUCCCGCUGUGGGAGGGGCUCUGGAGCGCCGGGACUCUGAGAUGGCCAAUGACUGUCUGACCCGUUGGGCCGAGCCAGGUCGCGGACAACGUCGACUGUUUAAGAAGCAUGGACUCUUGUCCUGAGUGCACCGAAGCUUUCAGCCUGCGGGACAGUGGUGCGAUUUGCAUUAGAGAAAGGGAGAUGCCAUGUGCUGGCCCAGCACUCCAACAGGGGCCUGACCUCUAGGAACGGGACACUGGAGGAAGCCUAGACAUUUGAACAAAUCAAGUCAUCCAGAUCCACGGUCAGCUCCUGCCCCGACUUGGCCUUCCUCCUGCUGGGCUGACCCACGGACCUCGGGAACCUGCCCUGACAGUGGGUGACCUGCAGGUCUCAGAACUGUGGCCCAUUCACCCCUUCCCUCAAGACAAGAGUGUGGCCAAGCAUCAACCUCACCCCCAGAGACCAGACGGUGUCCAGGUCUUGGGCAGACGAAACCUGCUCCUUGGGGAUGGUCUUCCUGGCUGUGCUUCCAAAGGGCUGGCCUGCAAUCAGCUGGUUUUCACUUGAUCCUUUCGGGGUUUGCAUUAUAUCUGACUGAAGGAAUGAACUGGGAGAGAACAGCAGAGCCACAGCGGAAUGUGGAAAUGCCCACGUCGAGACUGUUCCCAUUCUGGGAAUGAAGAUGACCACAAAGUUACAGGCGAGACGAGCAAAUUUCCGCCAGAGCUAGACAAGAGGGGUCAGGAUUAGAGAGGUCACAUUCAUGAAGAUGGCAAUGGCUGUGCAGUACUAGGCACCUAAAUGGAGUAUACUAGACACUCCCUCUGGUACCUUUAAUUAUGGAUUAUGGCUUCAUAGGCCUUUAAGCCGCACUAGAACCAAAGUAGCUCCCUUCUCUGUGCUCCUAACCAGGUGAAUGGACACCGGCUUUGGAUGAAUAAUGCAAGCUGCAGCCCCAUAGAAUAUGCACCUCAAUACAGACACCACCCGAGCUGUGGUACCUGUAUUGAAGUGCAUAUUCUGUAGGGUUGCAGUUUGCAUUAGCCAUCCCAUUCCUGAUGCGGGGUAUCUCUUGCUCUUUGAGAAAAAAAAUUUUUUUUAACUUUUGGCAAUUACAUCUUAAAACCACAAGAUGCAGUACAAAUUACUCGAGGAGUGAUAUCUAAAUAAAUCCACUUGAUCCUGUCAUAAACCUAAGGGGGUUCUGAGAGUGCGCCCCGGGAAUCCAGAUGCCUAAAAAACUCCCUAGGUGAUUACAAGCGCAUCCCUGUUUAAGGACCAAGAGUCUAGAGCCUACCCUGAAAAUGAGCCCAACCCUAAUGUGUGACUCGCCUCCUGCUACAGCCUCUUUCCUGGAUAGAGCUGUCGGGGAUAAGGUCUAAAAAUUUGUCUUGUAUUUUUGGCCUAGCGUGGUGGCUCACACCUGUCCCAACACUUUGGGAGGCCAAGGAGGGCAUAUCAUGAGGUCAGGAAUUCAAGACCAGCCUGGCCAAUAAAGUGACACCCAGUCUCUACUAAAAAUACAAAAAUUAGUCAGGUGUGGUGGCGUGUGCCUGUAGACCCAGCUACUCAGGAGACUGAGGCAGAAGAAUUGCUUGAACCCAGGAGGCAGAGGUUGCAGUGAGCCAAGAUCGCGCCACUGCGCUGCAGCCUGGGGGACAGAGUGAGACUCGGUCUCAAAAAAAAAAAAAAAAAAAAUUGUCUUAUGUUUUUAAGAUUCAAUUGCCAAAAGUUUAAAAAACAUUUCUCAAAGGCGAAUAAAGCAAGACAUGCCCUGACACUAGUUCUGCUUCCAACAAAGUUAGCAGGUUGUGCAUUUUAACACACAAACAAUCUGGGUUUGUGCUGGAAGCAAAUGAUAUCAUUGCAGAAAGAGGGAUUACAAAUGUAAUUAUGACAUUCUGAACUAUAAGACCACACAUGGUCCCAGUACAGACAUGUAUGAUAAUGUCAUUCUGGACGUGUCUGCUGAGGCCAGAGUGGCUGCUUGUAAAUGAAAAUCUGAAUUUUAUCAGAAGUUUAUCAGAAGUUGUUCAUCUUCUGUUCAUGAUUUGAGAGCCAACUCAAAUACAGCUACUCCCAUGAACACAGAAUCUCUGUAGCCAGAAAAGAAAUUCUCCUAUUUGUAAACUCCCCUAGCAAUAAUUUUGGUCUCUCUCAUAAUGUUUAUCAUAUCCUACCUUACAUUACCUUAAUUUUGUUCACCUGGCUUGUCUCCUAGAGUAUAGAGAGGGAGAUGGAGGCUUUCUGAUCAUUUAUUCCCCCAGUAUCCAGAGGAAAGGGUGCACCAUCAUCCUUUGGCAAGGGUUUGGUGUUGGAAAGCAUUGAGUCUCUGGCCCGUUUUAAAGCUCUGAAGUCUAAGAAGCACAGAGCAGAAAGCCAGAGACCUGAGUUCUAGCUCUAAUUUCACAUCUAUCUCACUAUGUGUCUCUGGGGAAGUUAUUUUAUUUCCUUGGAUUCCAUUUCUCCAUCUGCAUAAGAACUAAGAUUCGAUUAGUGGCAUUCAGAGUGCUCUUUAAAUUUAAAGUUGUAUGAGAAUUUUCAUACAUGCAACAGGCUAAGGCCGGGCAACUUUUGUAGAUGGGGGUAAAAAUUCUCCCCCACCACCCCAUCAGUAGUGCUUGAGGAGCCAGGGCCCUUGAACUCAGGUUAGAGAGCACUGGACUGAAUGGCCCAAGAUGCUCAUUCUGGGAAUGAGAGUCUAUGCAAGUUGGCCUAAAGGAACUUCUUAAAGGAAAAUGUGAUUGAAAAAGGUGAUUUGUUGAUGACAUGUUCAGUAAGGCAUGGGGGAAAAAGUUUCAUGCUUCUCUGAUGAUUUAUACCAAAUCUCCACGGCAAAAGCCUUGAAACAGGAAUAAUUCAAAAUUUAAGAACAAAGCAAAAUCAAAACAAAGAAAAACUAAACUUGGAAGAAAUAGAUCCUACUUGUGGGUUUGGGUUAUUGAGCUUUGGUAACUAAGAAUAAGUUCUUUCUUUGGAAAAGACUUACAUGUCCACCCAGAAGAUAUUUAACAACCUAUAUGAUAGUUCAUGAAAAGUAUAUUUAUUCAUAGUAUGUGUUAAGCACCUAGAUUGUGUUGACCUAUCAACCUGUCAACGUGAACUAUCAUACUUGUUGUUAGAUAUGUGAUACAUGCACAUAUCAUUAUACAUGUAUGUAUCAUACAGAUCUAACAAUAUGUAUGACAGUUUAUGAGAAGUAUAUUUAUUCAUAGUAUGUGUUAAGCACCUAGAUUGUGUUGGCCUAUCAACAUGUCAACAUGAACUAUCAUACAUAUUGUUAGAUAUGUGAUACAUACACAUAUUAUACAUACAUACAUAUGUAUGUAUCAUACAGAUCUAACAAUAUGUAUGACAGUUCAUGAGAGGUAUAUUUAUUCAUAGUAUGUAUUAAGCACCUAGGUUGUGUUUUCCUGUGAAUGCAGAUAGUGAAUACGACAUGCAAGAUGUCAGCUGGUGUGGAGUUUGCAUUCAGGUAGAGACAAGGCAGCCACAAACAAGUCCAUGCCGCAAUGGGACACAGUCUAUUAGGACUGGAGGAGAAGGCCCUUUAAACAAGGUCGGGGAAGGUCUAGCUGAGGAGGUCAUACUUGAGCUGAGACUUGAAUGAAAAGGAAAAUAAAAAGAAAUGGGAAGAGUAGCUUUCUAAAAGGGGAGAACAGCCAGUACAAGCUGUGGGUUAGCACGAGCUGAGUGUUUUACAGAAGAGGAUGGAGGAGAGAGGAGCAAGAUAAAAAUCUGGACUACCUUACUCAGUGUAAAAACUCUGCUUGUAAUAAUUCAGCCCAUCAUCAAGUUAUACCUUUAAUACAUACUGAGUUUACUAUUGCUGAAAGUCUCAAUAGCUUUUCAUUGUUAUAUAUAUAUUAUAGGUCAUUUGAAUUCAGGUGAAAUACUGUAUUUCCUGUAGCGUUUCAGCUUAUUUAGAGAAAACAAAAGAGCUUGGUAGUUCAUAUGUCUACAAAAAGAUAAUUUAUUUCAUAAACUCCAUCAUAGUGUGGCAGGAGUAAGGAGUCAUGGGUGAUUUGGUCAUGAAAACAGAUUAGAAUUUUAAAGAAGAUUUUUGUGAAGAGUAAGAAGAAAGAAUGCCAAGAUGUGUCCUUAGGGAUUCUUUGAUAUUUUAUAAUUUUUCAGACAUGUAAAAUUUAUGACCAGCUUUAAUUUAAGCUAUAUUAAGAAUAUUUUUGUUUCAGAGAAUCUAAAAAGAGUGUAUCUGUCAGUUAUUGUUUCUUAAGAUAACAAACAAAAAAUAUAAUAAUCAACAUUGGUGCAGGUAUUAUGAGACUAAUAAUGGCGAUAUAAAUCAUCAAGGCUUUUAGAAAAUAAUCUUUAAAUAUUUAUCAAAAGCCAAUAAAUGGACCACAGUCUUUUCUAUAGUGAUUGCAAUUCUGGCAUUCACCCUAAGAAAAAAAUUCAAAAAGAUAGAAAAAAGAUGUUCUUCGUAGGGCUAUUAAUAAUAAUGAAAAAUUAGAAGCAAUUUAAAUAUCCACCAGCGGCCAAAUGACUAAUUAAAUUAAUAUACAUUUAUCUGAUGGAAUACCAUACAGUCAUUGAAAACCAUUAAAUAUAAAAACUGUAUAGCAACAUGGAAAAAAUAAUAUAAUGGUGUUAUGUGAAAAAAGAGGCAAGACAAAAAUGUAUAUACACUACAAUUAUGGUAUGAAAAUAAUAUAUUUAUGCAAUGACUGA